UACGAAGGGGACUAGCGUUGUUCGGAAUCACUGGGCGUAAAGCGCACGUAGGCGGAUUUGUAAGUUAGAGGUGAAAGCCCGGGGCUCAACUCCGGAAUUGCCUUUAAGACUGCAUCGCUAGAAUUGUGGAGAGGUAAGUGGAAUUCCGAGUGUAGAGGUGAAAUUCGUAGAUAUCAGGAGGAACACCGGUGGCGAAGGCGGGUCUCUGGGCCGUAACUGACGCUGAGGAGCGAAAGCGUGGGGAGCGAACAGG
rnacentral:rRNA from 1 species